CAGCCGCCGCGGUAAUACCGGCGGCCCGAGUGGCGGUCACUAUUAUUGGGCUUAAAGCGUCCGUAGCCGGGGUGGGAAGUCCUCCGGGAAAUCUGGCCGCUUAACGGUCAGAAUGCCGGAGGAUACUCCCAGCCUAGGGAGCGGGAGAGGCCGAGGGUAUUCCCGGAGUAGGGGUGAAAUCCUAUAAUCCCGGGAGGACCACCUGUGGCGAAGGCGCUCGGCUGGAACGCGUCCGACGGUGAGGGACGAAGGCCAGGGGAGCAAACCGGAUUAGAUACCCGGGUAGUCCUGGCUGUAAACGAUGCGGACUUUGUGUCGGACAAGCUAUGAGCUUGUCCGGUGCCGGAGGGAAACCGUUAAGUCCGCCGCCUGGGGAGUACGGCCGCAAGGCUGAAACUUAAAGGAAUUGGCGGG
rnacentral:rRNA from 1 species